rnacentral:lncRNA from 1 species
AUGGGGAAAUCGUCCCCAAAAAUGGGGAAAUCCUCCAUAAAAAUGGGGAUAUCCUCCCCAAAAAGGGGGAAAUCCUCCAUAAAAAUGGGGAAAUCCUCCCCAAAAUGGGGAUAUCCUCCCCAAAAUGGGGAACUCCUCCCAAAAAAUGGGGAACUCCUCCCCAAAAUGGGGAACUCCUCCCCAAAAUGGGGAUAUCCUCCUAAAAAUGGGGAAAUCCCCCCCAAAAUGGGGAAAUCCUCCCAAAAAUGGGGAAAUCCUCCCAAAAAUGGGGAUAUCCUCCAUAAAAAUGGGGAAAUCCUCCCUAAAAAUGGGGAAAUCCUCCCAAAAAUGGGGAUAUCCUCCAUAAAAAUGGGGAAAUCCUCCCAAAAAAUGGGGAACUCCUCCCCAAAAUGGGGAUAUCCUCCUAAAAAUGGGGGAAUCCUCCCUAAAAAUGGGGAUAUCCUCCCUAAAAAUGGGGAAAUCCUCCCCAAAAUGGGGAAAUCCUCCCAAAAAUGGGGAUAUCCUCCAAAAAAAAUGGGGAAAUCCUGCCAAGAAUGGGGAAAUCCUCCCAAAAAUGGGGUCACCCACUGCAAAUUUUGGGGCGGGGAUGCUUUGGGGGCCCCCCCUGUUUGUUUUUUUUUUUUUUAUAUGCUUUUUUUUUAUUUUGUUGGUUUUUAUUCGGUUUUUAUACCAAAGGGGGGGCCAGGAAAGCCUCGUAUGGCCCCCCCAGCAGCUCCAGCACCUCGGGGCGCGGCACCAGCCAGCAGUGCCCGUACCGUGCCCUCCCCGACCCCCCCGGGACCUUUUUGGCCACCAACGUGGCCGUCACCCCCACCUCACCCCGCUGCAGCCGCGCCGUCCCCGGCGUCCCCAAAAAAGCCAGCCGGACCCCCCGCAGCCGGCCUGGGGGAGAGGGGACACAUUUAUCACCCCCCCCGCCACCCCCAAAAAGGUGGCGAAGGUGUUUUUGGAGGAGGGGGGGGCAACGCUUACCUAAAAGCCCCCCCGAUUUUGGGGCCAAGCCGGCGCCGUCGGGGAUGUAGAAGCCGAGGUGGUCGCGCUGCAGGGCGCCGGGGCGGCCGUAGCGGUGGCGCAGCACCCCAAAUCUCAAGUGGGGGCCCAAAAAGAGGUGGAGGCGGCCCCCCCGGCCCACCAGCAGCGUCA